rnacentral:rRNA from 1 species
GAGGGGGCUUGAGGGUCCUGGUCGUUCACCCGGUUGAAAAGAGAAGAGACGGGAGGUCGGUUCCUUCUGCCUCGUACUACCGCCGUAACCCUAACCCUAACCCCUAGAGCAGAUCCAGCCAGCCGCAGUGCGAGCGUCACCGGCGUCUCCUCCGCCCCCUACCUCAAAAAAGAUAAAGCCGGAGAAACUGGAGGUAGGUUCUUUCCGCCUCGUCGUAACACCCUAAGCCAUACAUCAGAUCUAGCCCGCCGCAAUGCGAGCGUCGUCGGGAUCUCCUCCUAUCCCGACCUCGAAGGGGGAGGGUGUGAUGGAAGUUGAAUCGGAUCAAGAUCAGGAUGAUUGUGAUGUGAUGAUUGAGCCUGCCGCUGCCCUCAGGGGUCUCUAUGCGAUGAUGGUCUCAUGGUGUGACCAAUUCCUUGAUAUUGAUAUUGAUAUUGAGGAGGAAGGGGAUAGAUCCGUUCCUCCCUUGUUGAUGAUCCACUUUCCCCGUCUUUUUGAGAGAGCAUGGGGAAAUAAUCGCCUAUAUCCUCAAGCUUUAGAUGACUGGUGUCCGUAUUGUGCAUACCUCCAGAAGUUCUGCGAUCAUAAUGCUCCUCGUUAUCAUGAUCCCGAUGCCUACAAGUUGUGUAUGGAUCAGGAAAUUAGAUUGAAGUCUGAGUGGCUGUACAAGCACACCCAUGUCCCCCAUGAUGAGAUCAGUCUGAGUGACAAUAUCCAAAACUGCGCUUAUGAACUUAUCCGUUCCAACAGCGGUGAAGCAUCUAAUUUGACUAAAUAAACCUGUGCGUCACUUUAAAUUUAGGAUUUUAUACCCUGUAUUUAAAUUUAGGAUUUUAUACCUUGGGCUUACUACUAUCUUUGUGCCAUUUAUGAAACAUUGCAAUGGUCCAAAGUGUGUUGCGAAGGAGAGCGAGUUGAUCGUUGAGAGGCUGAGCUGUCAUCCCAGUCUUCUGGACCCUGAAGAAUCACCCCACGAGAGCACACAGAUACGGAUGUUUGCCUUAAGUUGCAUGAAAGGUUCUCAGGCUUGUUCUGAUGCUGCUCUUCUGGUUAAAAAAGCUGCCCUGCUGGGCAUUACAAUUGAAGCUGGCUUGAUGACUCGGAACCUGAGGGAUAAGUAUUAUGACUCCAACGUAUCCUACCUGAACAGAUUGAUCCAGCGCUUUGCCUUAGAAGUUGUAAGGCAAAAUUUUGACUGAUCUCUUGAACAUUCUGCUCAUGAUGAUUAUCGGUAUGAUUUUGUUGCUAGACUUGAAGAAGAUGCUGAGAAUCAUUGCAGGGACAGCCUUGUAAACUCUGAUCCAGCUUCUGAGGAGAAAGGAAAUGUUGCAUCAUGUGCCUCCACAUGCAGCAACGGAAACUGAGGAAUGGAUGGUGCCAUGAAGGAGAAAGGGUUAGGAAAGAUGGAUCGCGAUUUCAUUUAUGCUCCCUUCCAAUUGGUGUACUGCAUGAAGCGGACAUGCUUUUCAAGCUAUGUGUUGGGUUCAAGUUUAAUUGUGUCAAACAUACCUUUACCAAUCUAGCUUAUAUAUUUGGACCAAAUUCACCCCAAUAUUUUUGUGUUGAUACCUUUAUCCUCUCUUUCUCUUUCAUAUCUGUGGAAAUAAGAUGGGUAGUUUUGUUUCGUGUCAACAGCUUUUACCAAUC